GCAAUUCGAACUCUCAAGAGAAUAUAAAAGAGGACCACAGACGUGUAAACACCUCCAAACAAACUCAUGUGGAUACUACUUAGCCCGAGGACAAUCUCUCAAAAUCACAUGUUGAUGCGGUUGACCCGUUUUCCUUUUCUUUAUUGAUUUCUCUCAAUGCAAUUUUCUCAUAUGAAUUUAUAUGACAAGGUACUAUGCACACCUAUUGAAGAAGAGGUGAAAGUUGGCCUACAACAGUCCUCUGCAUUUGAAAAACUUGACAACAUGUUUCUUUAGGAUCAAACAUGGGGUACAAGGUUUCUGCUUAGGGCUGCUUCUAUUCGCACCCGACCAAUGGGAUAAGGUCUCUCCUGGUAAGGGCACAACGUUUAUUUACACUUCAAUCAGAACAAGGCAUCAUCGGAAGCUUCAGUGACAAAACAUAGACAAGAACAGCAAUCACCAUAAAAUUCACCGUGGCAAGAAAUAGACGGUUACAAAUAUGUCAACUGUAACAAUAGCUCAAUUACAAAUGUAUGAUAUUCGUAGUAUGCAAGUAAAGAACAAAACUUUAUCAUAAAGCUUUUCAAAAGAAGGAAAAUGAGAUUACUACAACCAAAACUGAGCAGACAAGUAACAUUUAGUGGUUCUGGUAGGUAGCUAUUAGUUCAUAUUACACAGUAUUUUCCCUCUCUAUAUCACUCCGAAUACUCAACUUCAGGUGAAAACCACCAACAAUUACCGUAAGAGCAGCUACAAACGUCUAUUACUUUAUAGAUUUGUUCUCUCAAGUGAUAGUUGCUAUAAUUCUCGCAGUUCUACUCCUAUCAACAUGUUCACUUCAACGCCUAAACUAACUUGGCUGUAAUACGCAUGUAAUCGAUGACAAUAUAAGUGUGCAGGUCUUUCAAUAGGUUCCCAAUUCCCAUGCUGAGAGAAUUUUAUGAAAUUGCAAACCUCUAAAAUCUAUCAACAAGUAGUUGCAGCAUACUAACUACAAAAGCUUAGAUGACGUCAAAAACCUUAAAAUUGGUAGACGGUGAGAAUCAAACAGUCGGACAAGGAUAAGUAACAGAAAAGGCAGGGAUCACUUACCUAAUCUCGUAUAGAAGCAAAGGCGGCCAGAACUGCAACCCUCAACUUGAGCGCUUCUUGCCAAUACAUGAAAAUUGGGGUAGAUGGACAUUAGACCAUAUUGAAACUAAAUAAUCGGUAACCUUGUAUACAACUACUUUUUUUUUGCUUUUUAAAUGAACUACUGAGUAACCUUGUAUACAACUACCAAUUUUUUUCCCUUGGGGAGGAUAAGGAGGGGAUUUGGUGGGGGAAAUUAAUAGACAAGAUCUAGGGAAGUACUGAGUUAUUUUCUGCAUGUGGUCGCCAAACAACACUACAUUUUUCCAUCAAAUGAAGAUCAUAUCAUCUCUUGUUGUUUCCAGUCCUGAAGCAACAUAACGUAUAGCCUAUAGAAAAAGUGGAACGAAGGUGCCCCAUCGUCAAACCAGAUUGCGAUAGGAUGCAAUUUCUACAAAGCAUAACAUUCCACAAAAUCAGAUAUGAACUCAUUAAACUAAUUGUACAACUGGUCUCAACAAUCAUAUGUUAACUCGCC
rnacentral:lncRNA from 1 species